rnacentral:misc_RNA from 1 species
GAUGAAGAACGUAGCGAAAUGCGAUAAGUAAUGUGAAUUGCAGAAUUCAGUGAAUCAUCGAAUCUUUGAACGCACAUUGCGCCCCUUGGUAUUCCGAGGGGCAUGCCUAUUCGAGCGUCAUUUCAACCAUCAAGCCCCCGGCUUGUGUUGGGGACCUGCGGCUGCCGCAGGCCCUGAAAACCAGUGGCGGGCUCGCUAGUCACUCCGAGCGUAGUAAUACAUCUCGCUCAGGGCGUGCUGCGGGUUCCGGCCGUUAAAAAGCCUUAUUUACCCAAGGUUGACCUCGGAUCAGGUAGGAAGACCCGCUGAACUUAAGCAUAUCAAUAAGCGGAGGA